rnacentral:rRNA from 1 species
UACGUAGGUGGCAAGCGUUGUCCGGAUUUACUGGGCGUAAAGGAUGCGUAGGCGGACAUUUAAGUCAGAUGUGAAAUACCCGAGCUUAACUUGGGUGCUGCAUUUGAAACUGGGUGUCUAGAGUGCAGGAGAGGUAAGUGGAAUUCCUAGUGUAGCGGUGAAAUGCGUAGAGAUUAGAAGGAACACCAGUGGCGAAGGCGACUCCUG